CAUGCAAGUCGAGCGAACAGAUAAGGAGCUUGCUCCUUUGACGUUAGCGGCGGACGGGUGAGUAACACGUGGGUAACCUACCUAUAAGACUGGGAUAACUUCGGGAAACCGGAGCUAAUACCGGAUAACAUUUGGAACCGCAUGGUUCUAAAGUGAAAGAUGGUUUUGCUAUCACUUAUAGAUGGACCCGCGCCGUAUUAGCUAGUUGGUAAGGUAACGGCUUACCAAGGCRACGAUACGUAGCCGACCUGAGAGGGUGAUCGGCCACACUGGAACUGAGACACGGUCCAGACUCCUACGGGAGGCAGCAGUAGGGAAUCUUCCGCAAUGGGCGAAAGCCUGACGGAGCAACGCCGCGUGAGUGAUGAAGGGUUUCGGCUCGUAAAACUCUGUUAUUAGGGAAGAACAAACGUGUAAGUAACUGUGCACGUCUUGACGGUACCUAAUCAGAAAGCCACGGCUAA
rnacentral:rRNA from 1 species